UCCGAUGUGGUCUAGUGGCUAGGAUUUGCCGCUCUCAUACUCGAGCGCCGGCAAGGCCGGGGUUCGAUUCCCCGCAUCGGAA